AAGUGGAUAGUGAAACCUGGUGGCUCAACCAUUCAGACUAUUAUCCAAACUGCUAAGCUCGAGAAUGGUAGAGGUAGCUGGAAUUUCUUGUGUAGGAGUGAAAUCCGUAGAUAUAAGAAGGAACACCAAUGGCGUAGGCAGGUUACUGGGCUAUCUCUGACACUGAGGCACGAAAGCGUGGGAGCGAACCGGAUUAGAUACCCGGGUAGUCCACGCCGUAAACGAUGGAUACUA
rnacentral:rRNA from 1 species